rnacentral:miRNA from 1 species
GAUGUGCCUUGACCAGGGGUAG